rnacentral:rRNA from 1 species
AAUCUGAGCGUCUUAUUUUAAUAAGUCAAAACUUUCAACAACGGAUCUCUUGGUUCUGGCAUCGAUGAAGAACGCAGCGAAAUGCGAUAAGUAAUGUGAAUUGCAGAAUUCAGUGAAUCAUCGAAUCUUUGAACGCACAUUGCGCCCAUUAGUAUUCUAGUGGGCAUGCCUGUUCGAGCGUCAUUUCAACCCUUAAGCCU